rnacentral:rRNA from 1 species
GGUCAAGUGAAGAAGCGCAUACGGUGGAUGCCUUGGCAGUCAGAGGCGAUGAAAGACGUGGUAGCCUGCGAAAAGCUUCGGGGAGUCGGCAAACAGACUGUGAUCCGGAGAUGUCUGAAUGGGGGAACCCAGC